UAGAUUUGUCGCUCUAAUAGUCACUGUAUAGUGAUUCACAUUUCCACACAUGGAUUUAAUUUUUGUUCAUAAACUGGAUAUGUUUCGCAGUCUAUGGAAACACAAAUCACGCACUAGAAAAGCAAUACAUCAGCACUUGGCCUUUGCACUGGUCUAGUUUGGUCGCACGUGCCAAUCCGUAAUUUGUUCGAUUCUAAGCGUAAUGCACCGCACUAGUUGAUUUUGCAGAACACUAUCGCCGCCAUUUUCCUUCAUUGUUUUGAUGUAUUGUUUUUUCAACCAUUUCUGUGCAAUGGAAUGAAUGGAUUUCAUGUUUUAUCGCCACACAUGCUUUUUAAUACUAACAAUUUGCCUCUCAAACCUCUUCACGUAAUAUGCAAAUGUCCCGUCAAUCGCAACGAUCUCCAAACUAUUAACAAACGAAUCGUCAUUAAUAUAAUAUUUCUUUCAGGAACUGUGUCAUAAAAUGUGAUUGUGAUUUCUGUAAUUGACACCUGUUAGUCUUAAGCUGCAAGUUGUUGUUGUAUAUUUAUUCAACGACAUUUUUUUUGUUUUCUUUCUCGUUUUUGUGCAAUCAGAAGGGGGAUUUCUGGGGACCGAAGAGGAUGCUGGACAACGAGGGCCGUCGCCAUGGAUGCCAAGGAGGGUCCACACGAUCGUCGAAGAGGACUAUGGACUCCAAGCAUCGUCGAAGAUCGCUGAAGAGGACCUAAGGAUCGCCGGGGGAGCAUCAAGGUCGUCGCCCUGGAUACUGAAGAGGGCUCGCAGCUGCACGGAAGAGGACCAAGGAUAUCGAGGAUCGUCGCUGGAGCAAAGAGAUUGGCCCCCUGGAUAUUGAAGGUCCACACCAUCACCGAAGAGGACCAUGGACGCCGAAGAGGACCAUGGACGCCGAAGAGGACCAUGGACGCCGAAGAGGACCAUGGACGCCGAAGAGGACCAUGGACGCCGAAGAGGACCAUGGACGCCGAAGAGGACCAUGGACGC